GAGGUUGCCGCUUAGCAUGAGCUCCUUGAUUCUGUGGCUCUCCAUGAGUCGGUCUUGUCGCAGCACCACGACGACCGCCUGUCCUGGCAUCUCGAGCCCUCUGGCCGCUUCUCCACGAAGUCUCUGUACCGCGCCAUCGCUCCCUCUCCUAGACCGGCUGUCCUCGAUUCUAUAUGGUCUAUCCGCGUGCCCCUCAAAAUUAGAAUCUUCAUGUGGCAAUGGAUCCGUGGCCGGCUCCCCUCGGGCGUGGAGGUCCUGAAGCGCCAGGGUCCCAAUGAUGGUAUCUGCCCCCUUUGUGGGACGGUAGAAACCUCGAAUCACAUCUUCUUCUCGUGCGUGUCCGCCCAGUUUCUUUGGGGCUGCCUCCGAGAGGUCAUCGGUGGCAACUGGUGUCACACUAACUUCCCCGAUCUCCUCUCUGAGGUUCAGACCUCCCCCUUGACAGGUCGCCACAUUAGGUGGCUGGUCAUUGGGGUGCUCGCUUGGACGGUGUGGACUGUGCGAAAUAAGCUUGUCAUUCAACGGGUCCCCCUUCGAUGUGCUACUGACGCUGUGUUCAAAAUGUGUGGCUACUUGUAG
rnacentral:rRNA from 1 species